rnacentral:lncRNA from 1 species
GGGGGUGGUUUAGGAAGUAGAGAAAAGGUGAAAAGGCAGCGGAGGGAGCCGGCUGUCCUGUGUCUCCUCUUUUUCCUGCCCCCAGUGACUUGCAUUUUCUCUGAGACAGCUGCCAUUCUAGUCUCCCAGCCAUUCUUAGGAAGAGACGUGCCUGUCUCUGGGAAGAGGCAACUUCUCUGCAUGUCAGAGGAUGCUGGUCUUUCAAGUCCCUGCUGCUUUGGAAGAUCUCUGAGGCCUUCAACCACAUUCUUUGUAUUUAUGUCCUACUCUUCUACUUGUUCUCUGUGGAAGAGAGACAGAGGAAAAAAGCUACUGUAACCUUAUCCUAAGUGGAUGCCUAGGUGAACAUUUUGGAUGGUCACUUAACCUAAGUCUCAGUUUCCUCAUUAAUAAAAUGGGGGCACAUGAGACAUACCUCAUGAGGUUGUUUCGAGGCUUAAAUAUACGUUAAAUGUAUUUUGUGAGCCUAAAAGAUAUUUAAACACAAGCCGCUAUUACAUCUUUACAUGAUUGAAGUUCCUGAAGGAGACCUGUAGUGGGUGUCUAUACAGGGCAGUUGGUUCAUGUGGCCAGGUCUACUUGGGGAUGUGAAUGGAAGUUUACUUCUUCUGGGAACUUUGAUUGUUAAUAUUGUUGGAUUUAUCACUCUUUAGUGAAACAAGUUACUUCCUCAUGGUGGUAAGAAGUCCCAGAACACU